rnacentral:rRNA from 1 species
AUGUUUCUCGUUGUCGCAGCUCUCAUGGCCUCUAUCCUCGGCCAUAGAACUGGCAUGGUCACAACUUCAACGUGCUGGGAUGACCAGGAUUUCUUCAAAUACUGCCCGCCGUCACGGUGCAGCGUAGAUGGGCCUGAGAUCCGGUUCCCGCUCCGGCUUGAAACCAGCACUUCAUCUUCAUCAUGCGGCGCGACAUGUGCGAAGAUGGCUUGCUCAGGCCAAGACUUCAUCCUACUCCACCCACUUCUUGGCCACUACAAAGUGACCACCAUAGACUACAACCAUGCUACCCUCAGCAUCAUCCCGCUCAUAGACUCCUUGACUUCAUGCCCGCUUCAGAAGCUCAUCUCCACAGAUCAACUAGCUGAUGCCUACCGUCGAUGUUCAUUAUACAAGGCAAUACCUGGAAAAAUAGUACACUGUUCAAAGGAGUUCAUACCAAGUAGCACUACUCAAGUUGAUGAUGACUACGAGAUGAAAAAGGCUGCCGAUUAUAUUGUUGGCCCAAUCUCUUGCUUUAGCAACCAAAGUCAGUUUGUCUAUUUGGUGAGUGCUAGUCUAUAUAUGCAUGUGCUUCCGUUGGACUGCAAGGCCAUGUCAAAUGUUCUGAUACCAUCAAGAUCCAUGGAUGGCUCGAUGUUCAAGCAAAUGUCAGAAAGAAUUAUUAGUUUUGCUGAAACAACUGUUAGUUGGCGUGACGAUGGCAUUUCUACCAGUUGCACACAAUGUGCACUUGAUGGGCAGAGUUGUGCUUUCAGUUCGCAUAGAAAUCAAACAUUCUGCAUACGCCGCAGGCCUCAUGGUUCACAUGUCAAAAUCGCUGCAGCUACAUCAUCUGCAGCCGCAUUUGUUGUUCUUUCAUUGAUGGUGGCUACUGUGAUCUAUCUCUCCUUGAAGUCAAGGUACAAUGAAGAGAUAAAUAUGAAAGUUGAAAUGUUUCUCAAGGCAUAUGGCACAUUGAAACCCACAUGGUACACUUUCCCUGAAGUUAAGAAGAUAGCAAGACGGUUCAACGAUAAACUAGGCCAGGGUGGGUUUGGAAGUGUAUACGGUGAGCUACGAAAUGGAGUUCCUGUCGUAGUCAAGAUGCUAGAGAACUCUACAAGAGAGGGAGAGGAAUUCAUCAAUGAAGUUGCAACCAUUGGACUGACCCACCAUGCAAAUAUCGUCCGUCUCUUUGGCUUUUGCUCCGAAGGAACGGGACGGGCUCUUAUUUAUGAAUUCAUGCCUAAUGAGUCACUGGAGAAAUAUAUAUUCUCACAUGUUUCUAAUAUUUCACAACUACUCCUGGCACCCACCAAAAUGCUAACUAUUGCUUUAGGCAUUCAAGGAAUGGAAUACCUGCAUCAAGGCUGCAACCAGCGCAUUCUCCACUUUGACAUCAAGCCGCAUAACAUCUUGCUAGGCUACAACUUCAAUCCAAAGAUCUCAGACUUUGGACUCGCAAAGCUGUAUGCAAGGGACCAGAGCAUUGUUACCUUGACUGCAGCCAGAAGCACAAUGGGAUACAUCGCACCAGAGCUAUACUCUCGAAACUUUGGAGGGGUUUCAUACAAGUCAGAUGUAUAUAGUUUUGGCAUGCUGGUGUUGGAAAUGGUGAGUGGAAGGAGGAACUCAGACCCAAGUGUUGAGAACCAGGCCGAAGUUUAUCUCCCGGAGUGGAUCUACGAGAAAGUAAUCAAUGGGAAAGAAUGGGAGCUUACUUUGGAAAUGACAGCAGAAGACAAGGAGAAGAUGAGACAGCUGACUAUUGUGGCACUGUGGUGCAUCCAAUGGAACCCGAAGAAUCGACCAUCAAUGACAAAGGUGGUAAACAUGUUAACUGGGAGGUUGCAGAACCUGUAGAUUCCACCACAGCCCUUUGUGUCGUCUGACAAUCGUCUUAUGCCAGAAAACACAACGAACACAUGA